GCUGAUUUGGCCGAGUGGUCUAAGGCGAUGGUUUUAAGCUCACUAUGCACUAUAGUCAAAGUACACCAUUAUCGAGAGAUGCGUGAGUUCGAACCUCACAGUCAGCA
rnacentral:tRNA from 1 species